UCGUGAGACGGAGCGUUUUUUGGUCGAAAAUGUGAGAAGCAAUUACGUAUGCAUCCACGAGAUGGCGUAAGGCGCUAAUUAUUGUUGUUGCUUCCCUGUCAAAAUGGAAUGACAGGUUAAGAUUACUGUUAAUGUUUGAAAAUUGAUUUAUAACUCGAUAACAGUAAUUCAGCGAAAAAAAAACCAAAUGCAAUUAAUGUAAUUCAUUAAUUUUUAUAUUGUAUAUACUUCUCCAUCCAUCCGUAUAUAUCAAGUGUUGCGGAGUACUGCCGAUCUAGAUUGGAGUAGAGUGAUGUGAUUUGUGGUCCUUGAGACACAUUUGAAAUUCUUCGAUUAUUUGAAUUUAUAUCUACAGUUGAAUGGAUCUAUUAGAGCUAUUAUUAGAUGAGGAAGACGGUUUGGAAAUUUGGCGAGAAAAACAAACGCUUCGUUUUCAUCGUCUGCAUAUACGAGACGCAGUGAACCCAUUUGACAUCCCUGACUUACAAUUCGUUCGACUAUUUAGAUUCACCCGGCAGGGUGCAAUGUCACUCCUUGAUGAGUUGGCUGGUUUUCUCCCAGAAUCCACCAGGAAGGAUGUCAUACCCAUUCAUCUGCAGGUGCUAGCAACCCUGAAUUUUUUAUCUGGCGGUUCCUAUCAACGCAAAGUUGCAGGAGAUUUUUUGGCAUGCAUGAGCCAGACAUGUGUGAGUCGCUUCCUUCAUAGAGUGGUAGAAGCACUGAAUCAAAUUUUGCACAGAUGGAUUUGUUUUCCCAAAACAGAUGCUGCGAUCAGGCAAAUUCAGGAAGGGUGAGCGAUAAUUCACCAUGUAUCGAUGAAUGAUAGAUUUUUAUUAAUAAACAAAGCUCUAAGGGGAUUUUUUUGACUAAUAGAUUCCAAUUUCGAUGGAUUUCAGCAUUCAACUUAAUUCAUUACUUCAUACUUUAUUUGAACUAGUACCAUGUAGAUUUUAUGAUAAUUUAUAAGAUUUUAGGAAAAAAAGAAAAAUUAUUAUAGAUUAUACUCAGGGAUAAAUUGUAGAAUAAUUCAGAAAUCUUCUUGUCAUCAGCUAAAAUUAUCAAUCAGUUGAAAUCGACAAAAAAGAUGGACCAUUUAAAUGAAUGGAGUAAUUGUAGUUUGUUACAGAUAUUUGAAUGAAAAAAACUCCUUGUUAUCCUGGAAACUGAAUUAAAAAAUUGAAAAUCCUGGUCAUUUUUAUAAGAAUAAUGAUAGAAAAAAAUGGACUUCCUGUUACGCCAGAUAUUAAAUUCAAAAUCUUUUGCCUCCCUAAACUUUUAACUGCUCUUUCUACGUAUACACUGGGGUGAUUUAUCAUACCACCCCAUUGCUAUAUUCACCUUGCAUUCGGAACGCAUCAGCAAAGUAUCAUAUCGUAUAAUAAACAUUAUUCUAUAGUUUUUGGGAGUGUGAUGGUUUCCGCGAUGUGAUGGGCUUGAUCGACUGUACGCACGUAUCAAUUGUGAAGCCAUCCGGAAACCGAGAGGCUCAUUUCAUCAAUCGAAAACAUUAUCAUUCGUUAAAUGUGCAAGUUGUAUGUGAUCAUAAACUCCGAAUCCUCACUAUCAAUUCCUCCCAUGGAGGGAGAACCCACGACUCUCGUGUUUUUGCUUCGUCUCAAUUAUCAGGCUACUUGAGGGAACAGUAUGAGGCAGGGCGGCGCGACUGUUGGUUAUUGGGUGAUUCGGGCUACCCUUUACUGCCCUUUUUGUUAACUCCAAUACUUAAUGCACCCGAAGGAACACCAGAACAUCGAUACACGAAAUGUCAUGCUCGAACAAGAUCAACAGUGGAACGAUGUUUUGGAGCGCUAAAAGGAAAAUGGAGAUGUAUCUGUAAGGAGAGAACUCUCUACUACGCUCCAGAGUUCGCAGUCUUGGAAGGAUUGGAAGGGUGCAGUUCUGAAGGCUGUGGGAAAACUGAAAGGAUAUGCUCGAGGUACUGGGGGAGGUGAGCCACGGUUCGAUAAAUUCGCACUAGUCGAUCAGGCAUUAUUGGAAUUUCUGGGACCAGACGCCUAUGGUAUGCCCCAUAUUCAAGAAG